rnacentral:lncRNA from 1 species
UAAAUACUGAGAAGGGAAUUUCCAGCGUCCUACUUAUUUACAAAGGCUGCCAGACUUUAAUGGCAACUCAGUUGUAGCAGCCACUUCAAAUUCUUGGGCCAAGUCAGCAAAAGAAAAUAAAAAGAGGAAAGGAAAGGAACAUAGAAAGCUACAGAGUCUACCAGAUGGGACUCGCUUUAAUGGUCUGUUGAAGAAUGGGCGGCAGUCCUUUCCCUCCAGGAUCUGAACAAUCUGCUGUGCUCGGCGGCCUGCAUUUUGACAGCUAAGGAAGUGAGAGGCCAAGAUCUGAAUUACAUAUCGAGUGAAAAUCGCAUACCUGGCAAGAUGGCACUGAAAGUGCCUGCUGAGCUAUUUGAGUCAGCUGUCGGAAAACAGUGAUGUUGUUGGAAACAUGAGUGCUUGACUUUUAAUCGUAGCUAUCUGCACUGCUUUCAGCAAAAAUAAAGACUGCACCAGUAUCUCUCCCUUGGCCGGAUCCCUACCUCAGCCCCGGCAAAGGAACAAGAAAGCAUAAAAGGAAAAUACAGAGCAGCAUCACAGAUGAUAAAGCAAGCUUUGCAUCAGGGCAGAAGACAGAAGAGUACUAGGAAGUACUUCUGAAGUAUCGCAGAUAAAAUAAUACAUGAGAGAUACCUUGUUGACAAAAAAAGAAAAUAGUGGAUUAUUAUUAUUCUAAUGUAAUCAUAGUAGUACUUGUCUCCCGAGGAGAUAUAUUCAUACUAUAUCAGCUAGGAAAUAAUAUUUCUCUUUCUCGUAAAAGAACAUGUGACACUGUAAAAUAGCAUUUGGGCCAUAAAUAUGACCUUUCUGGUCAUUUGUUAAAAACUUGAAAUAAUUAUUUUGGUUCAACACGAAUAAUAAUUUGUGAAUCUAAAGCCUAAGUAAGCCUUGAAAGGACAGUUACACGUUUGUUCAAUUUCAAUCUACACAGAUUUUUGUCACUGUAUCCCAUAAAAAUAAACAUUAAUUAAUGGAACUUAUGGAUUGUUUCUAGUUAAUAACAUAUAGCUACAUAGUUCCUGAUUUUAGUUCUUAUCUAGUGAUGAUUCACACAAUUGUCUGAGUAAUUCAACUAAAGUAAGAUUAAGAGAGUGAAUGUAGUGGGAAGUUUUCAGACUUUGAAAGAAGUUAGAAAUAUACAUGUUUAAAAUCUUUGCUCAACUGUUACUCGGUGGCAAUUUAAUUUACAUAGGCUUAAUUUCCUCAUUCAUAAAAUUAGGCAUUUUUUGGAGAGAUUUGUGAG